rnacentral:rRNA from 1 species
GUGGGGAAUUUUGGACAAUGGGCGAAAGCCUGAUCCAGCCAUGCCGCGUGCAGGAUGAAGGCCUUCGGGUUGUAAACUGCUUUUGUACGGAACGAAACGGUCCGGGUUAAUACCCUGGGCUAAUGACGGUACCGUAAGAAUAAGCACCGGCUAACUACGUGCCAGCAGCCGCGGUAAUACGUAGGGUGCAAGCGUUAAUCGGAAUUACUGGGCGUAAAGCGUGCGCAGGCGGUUUUGUAAGACAGGCGUGAAAUCCCCGGGCUCAACCUGGGAAUUGCGCUUGGGACUGCAAGGCUGGAGUGCGGCAGAGGGGGAUGGAAUUCCGCGUGUAGCAGUGAAAUGCGUAGAUAUGCGGAGGAACACCGAUGGCGAAGGCAAUCCCCUGGGCCUGCACUGACGCUCAUGCACGAAAGCGUGGGGAGCAAACAGGAUUAGAUACCCUUGUAGUCC